rnacentral:tRNA from 1 species
GGGGGUGUAGCUCAGCUGGGAGAGCGCGUCGUUCGCAAUGACGAGGUCAGGUCGUCGGUUCGAUCCCGAUCACCUCCACCA